rnacentral:rRNA from 1 species
GGAAUAUUGCACAAUGGGGGAAACCCUGAUGCAGCCAUGCCGCGUGUGUGAAGAAGGCCUUCGGGUUGUAAAGCACUUUCAGCGAGGAGGAAAGGUUGGCGCCUAAUACGUGUCAACUGUGACGUUACUCGCAGAAGAAGCACCGGCUAACUCCGUGCCAGCAGCCGCGGUAAUACGGAGGGUGCAAGCGUUAAUCGGAAUUACUGGGCGUAAAGCGCACGCAGGCGGUUGGAUAAGUUAGAUGUGAAAGCCCCGGGCUCAACCUGGGAAUUGCAUUUAAAACUGUCCAGCUAGAGUCUUGUAGAGGGGGGUAGAAUUCCAGGUGUAGCGGUGAAAUGCGUAGAGAUCUGGAGGAAUACCGGUGGCGAAGGCGGCCCCCUGGACAAAGACUGACGCUCAGGUGCGAAAGCGUGGGGAGCAAACAGGAUUAGAUACCCCAG